rnacentral:rRNA from 1 species
GACGAACGCUGGCGGCGUGCUUAACACAUGCAAGUCGAACGGAAAGGCCCUGCUUUUGUGGGGUGCUCGAGUGGCGAACGGGGGAGUAACACGUGAGUAACCUGCCCUUGACUUUGUGAUAACUUCAGGAAACUGGGGCUAAUACCGGAUAGGAGCUCCUGCUGCAUGGGGGUGGUUGGAAAGUGUCGGCGGUUGGGGAUGUUCUCGCGGCUUAUCAGCUUGUUGGUGGGGUAGUGGCUUACCAAGGGUUUGACGGGUAGCCGGCCUGAGAGGGUGGCCGGCCACAUUGGGACUGAGAUACGGACCAGACUCGUACGGGAGGCAGCGGUGGGGAAUAUUGCACAAUGGGCGGAAGCCUGAUGCAGCGACGCCGCGUGCGGGAUGACGGCCUUCGGGUUGUAAACAGAUUUCGCCUGUGACGAAGCGUGAGUGACGGUAAUGGGUAAAGAAGCAACGGCUAACUACGUG